rnacentral:lncRNA from 1 species
GGUGGAAUUUGCCAGAAAUGGGUCUUCAUUGCAUGGAGUCAGAGACUCAGGGCUCUCAGCUGCCCUGACCGCACCUCCGCCCAAGCCUGAGGCAUUUUGCGCCUGAGAGGAGAGGUGACAGAGUGGGCACAGGAACCAGCCACAACCACAGGGGCUCUUGCAAAUCGCAGCACAUAACAAACAGCCCUUGCCUGGUUUGCAGACAGGUUUAUUUCUGGGAAAGUUAAAUUCAGGACUCGCUCCAUGCAAAAUUGUAAAGUAGCUGUGCGUGUCUACUGCAGAGGCCCAGCCAGAAUACUACGUGGCACUGGGGCAUCUGGAGGACAUACCUGAACCUGCAGAAGGUUGGAGCGUUCCUUACCAUACUCCGGACCUGGCCAGGUCAGAAAGUGGAGCUCUGGAAGUUAAGGAACUUGCCUGGGGCCAUGCUGCUUGCUCAUCUAAGAAAACACAAUAAAGGGUCAGUGCCAUAUAACAAAGCGUGCAGCAUAAAGAGGCCCUCCCCUGCAGCAGUUAAGUUUCCGGCCCCAUAAAAGCCAGAUCCACGCCGACCUGAUGGACACCAAAGGUGGAG